rfam:Thermovenabulum gondwanense strain R270 ATZ99_contig000038, whole genome shotgun sequence.
UUCGGUGGCCAUAGCGGAGGGGAAACACCGGUUCCCAUACCGAACACACAGGUUAAGCCCUCCUGCGCCGAUGGUACUGGGUUAUCCCGGGAGAGUAGGUCGCUGCCGAAA